rnacentral:rRNA from 1 species
UACGAAGGGAGCUAGCGUUGUUCGGAAUCACUGGGCGUAAAGCGCACGUAGGCGGAUGUGUCAGUCAGGGGUGAAAUCCCGGAGCUCAACUUCGGAACUGCCUUUGAUACAGCACGUCUUGAGUUCGAGAGAGGUGGGUGGAAUUCCUAGUGUAGAGGUGAAAUUCGUAGAUAUUAGGAAGAACACCGGUGGCGAAGGCGGCCCACUGGCUCGAUACUGACGCUGAGGUGCGAAAGCGUGGGGAGCAAACAGG